GACGAACGCUGGCGGCGUGCCUAAUACAUGCAAGUCGAGCGCAGGAAACUGACGGGACUCUUCGGAGGGAAGUCAGUGGAAUGAGCGGCGGACGGGUGAGUAACACGUAAGGAACCUGCCUCAAGGAUUGGGAUAACUCCGAGAAAUCGGAGCUAAUACCGGAUAGUUCAACGGACCGCAUGGUCCGCUGAUGAAAGGCGCUCCGGCGUCACCUUGAGAUGGCCUUGCGGUGCAUUAGCUAGUUGGUGGGGUAACGGCCCACCAAGGCGACGAUGCAUAGCGGACCUGAGAGGGUGAUCGGCCACACUGGGAAUGAGACACGGCCCAGACUCCUACGGGAGGCAGCAGUAGGGAAUCUUCCACAAUGGACGAAAGUCUGAUGGAGCAACGCCGCGUGAGUGAUGAAGGUUUUCGGAUCGUAAAACUCUGUUGUAAGGGAAGAACACGUACGAGAGGAAAUGCUCGUACCUUGACGGUACCUUACGAGAAAGCCACGGCUAACUACGUGCCAGACGCCGCGGUAA
rnacentral:rRNA from 1 species